rnacentral:tRNA from 1 species
CUCCCCUUGGUGUAGUUGGUUCAUCACGUUCGACUGUAAUGGUGUUGUAUCCACAUCCAUCGAAAGGUCUCUAGUUCGAUUCUGGAAGGGGAGA